rnacentral:rRNA from 1 species
CCUACGGGAGGCAGCAGUGAGGAAUAUUGGUCAAUGGGCGGAAGCCUGAACCAGCCAAGUCGCGUGAGGGAAUAAGGCCCUACGGGUCGUAAACCUCUUUUGCCGGGGAGCAAGGGCGGGGACGUGUCCCGGCCCGGAGGGUACCCGGAGAAAAAGCAUCGGCUAACUCCGUGCCAGCAGCCGCGGUAAUAGGGAGGAUGCGAGCGUUAUCCGGAUUUAUUGGGUUUAAAGGUGUCGGAGGCGGGCUUUUAAGUCAGCGGGAAAAAUGCGGGGCUCAACCCCGACCGGCCGUUGAAACUGGGGGCCAUGAGUGGGCGAGAAGAAGGCGGAAUGCGUGGUGUAGCGGUGAAAUGCAUAGAUAUCACGCAGAACCCCGAUUGCGAAGGCAGCCUUCCGGCGCCCUACUGACGCUGAGGCACGAAAGUGCGGGGAUCGAACAGGAUUAGAUACCCCUGUAGUC